rnacentral:tRNA from 1 species
GCCUGGGUGGCUCAGUUGGUUAAGCAUCCGACUUCAGCUCAGGUCGUGAUCUCCCAGUUCGUGGGUUUGAGCCCCACAUCGGGCU